rnacentral:rRNA from 1 species
UACGAAGGGGGCUAGCGUUGCUCGGAAUCACUGGGCGUAAAGGGUGCGUACGCGGGUCUUUAAGUCAGGGGUGAAAUCCUGGAGCUCAACUCCAGAACUGCCUUUGAUACUGAGGAUCUUGAGUGCGGGAGAGGUGAGUGGAACUGCGAGUGUAGAGGUGAAAUUCGUAGAUAUUCGCAAGAACACCAGUGGCGAAGGCGGCUCACUGGCCCGUAACUGACGCUGAGGCACGAAAGCGUGGGGAGCAAACAGG